UACGGGGGGGCAAGCGUUGUUCGGAAUUACUGGGCGUAAAGGGCGCGUAGGCGGUCUGUUAAGUCGGAUGUGAAAACUCUGGGCUCAACCCAGAGCCUGCAUCCGAAACUGGCAGGCUAGAGUUCUGGAGGGGGUAGCGGAAUUCCUGGUGUAGCGGUGAAAUGCGCAGAUAUCAGGAGGAACACCGGUGGCGAAGGCGGGUCUCUGGGCCGAUACUGACGCUGAGGAGCGAAAGCGUGGGGAGCGAACAGG
rnacentral:rRNA from 1 species